CUCACCUUUGCUUUCUUCUUGCAGAUGCCAUGGGGCAGACCAUUGUCAGCCAGCAAGAAGGACAGGUCACAGUGGAGGAGAGAAACACCUUCCAGACCACCUGCACAUACCAGGCAGCUAACUUUUAUGGCUUGUUUUGGUACCAGCAGAAGAAAGGCCAAGCUCCCCAGCUGGUCACAUAUCAGGCAGCUGCAGGCUCCAAGCAGAACGGCCGUUUCACCACGUGGCUGAACACCACCGAGAAAUACAGCCUCCUGCGGCUGGCAGAAGUCGAGCUGUCUGACAGCGCCUUGUACCUCUGUGCUGUGCAGGACACCGUGGUGCAGGGAGCUUCCUUGGCCGUGCCAGAACCGCAGUGAGGGAGGGGGUGUGUCUGUUGGAGGCGGAGCUCUGGGGAAGGGGCCCUCAGCUCUCCCCUGGCAGCGCUGCUUCCUCUGUGCACGCAGAGACCUGGAGGUCAACAUCCUCUUCGAGAAGAGACCGAUGUCUGUGGCUUGAGAGGAAUGAAAAGUGACAAAGGAGACCCUGACCUGGAACUCGUCUCCAUGUACACUCCUGGACAACC